CCUACGGGAGGCAGCAGUGGGGGAUAUUGCACAAUGGGGGAAACCCUGAUGCAGCGACGCCGCGUGUGGGAAGACGGUCCUCUGGAUUGUCAACAACUGUCCCCAGGGACGAAGAUGACGGUACCUGGGGAGGAAGCUCCGGCUAACUACGGGCCAGCAGCCGCGGUAAUACGGAGGGAGCGAGCUUUGUCGGGAAUUACUUGGUGGAAAGGGAGCGUAGGCGGGGAUGCAAGAUGGGUGUCAAAACUACCGGGUCAACUGGUAGUCGCACCCAAGAUUGCAGCUCUUGAUGGAAGUAGAGGCAGGCGGAAUUGCUAGUGUAGCGGUGAAAUGCGUAGAUAUUAGGAGGAACACCAGUGGCGAAGGCGGCCUGCUGGGCUUUUACUGACGCUGAGGCUCGAAAGUGUGGGGAGCAAACAGGAUUAGAUACCCUUGUAGUC
rnacentral:rRNA from 1 species